GGACCGGGAUAACACCGAGAAAUCGGAGCUAAUACCGGAUAAUAUGGAAUGCCGCAUGAUUUUUCUUUGAAAGGUGGUUCAAGCUGUCACUACUGGAUGGGCCCGCGGCGCAUUACCUGGUGGGUGAGGCAACGGCUCACCAAGGCAACCAUGCCUAUCCGACCUGAGAGGGUGAUCGGCCUCCCUGGGACUGACACACUGCCCACACUCCUACGGGAGGCAGCAGUAGGGAAUCUUCCGCAAUGGACGAAAGUCUGACCGACCAACGCCUCGUGAGCGAAGAAGGCCUUCGGGUCGAAAAGCUCUGUUGUUAGGGAAGAACAAGUAGCGCUCUAACGGGCGUUACUUUGACGGUACCUAAUGAGGAAGCCACGGCUAACUACGUGCCAGCUGCCGCGGUAAUACGUAGGUGGCAAGCGUUGUCCGGAAUUAUUGGGCGUAAUGUGCGCUUUGGCGGUUCCUUGAGUCUGAUGUGAAAGCCCACGGCUCAACCGUGGAGGGUCAUUGGAACUGGGGGACUUGAGUGCAGAAGAAGAUAGCGGAAUUCCACGUGUAUCGGUGAAAUGCUUAGAGAUGUGCAGGAACACCAGUGGCGAAUCGCGGCUCUCUGUUCUGCUACUGACGCUGAGGCGCGAUAGCGUGGUGAGCUAACUUGAUUAGAUACCCUGGUUGUCCACGCCGAAAGCUAUGAGUGCUAAGUGUUCCAGGCUAUCCACCCUUUACUGCUGU
rnacentral:rRNA from 1 species